rnacentral:tRNA from 2 species
GUGAUCGUAGCUCAGUUGGUAGAGCCCCGGAUUGUGAUUCCGGUCGUCGUGGGUUCGAGUCCCAUCGGUCACCCCA